UACGUAGGGUGCAAGCGUUAAUCGGAAUUACUGGGCGUAAAGCGUGCGCAGGCGGUGAUGUAAGACAGAUGUGAAAUCCCCGGGCUCAACCUGGGAACUGCAUUUGUGACUGCAUUGCUGGAGUGCGGCAGAGGGGGAUGGAAUUCCGCGUGUAGCAGUGAAAUGCGUAGAGAUGUGGAGGAACACCGAUGGCGAAGGCAGCCUCCGGUCGGCAGCACUGACGCUCAUGCACGAAAGCGUGGGGAGCAAACAGG
rnacentral:rRNA from 1 species